rnacentral:rRNA from 1 species
GAGCGAACAGACGAGGAGCUUGCUCCUCUGACGUUAGCGGCGGACGGGUGAGUAACACGUGGAUAACCUACCUAUAAGACUGGGAUAACUUCGGGAAACCGGAGCUAAUACCGGAUAAUAUAUUGAACCGCAUGGUUCAAUAGUGAAAGACGGUUUUGCUGUCACUUAUAGAUGGACCCGCGUCGCAUUAGCUAGUUGGUAAGGUAACGGCUUACCAAGGCAACGAUGCGUAGCCGACCUGAGAGGGUGAUCGGCCACACUGGAACUGAGACACGGUCCAGACUCCUACGGGAGGCAGCAGUAGGGAAUCUUCCGCAAUGGGCGAAAGCCUGACGGAGCAACGCCGCGUGAGUGAUGAAGGUCUUCGGAUCGUAAAACUCUGUUAUUAGGGAAGAACAAAUGUGUAAGUAACUAUGCACGUCUUGACGGUACCUAAUCAGAAAGCCACGGCUAACUACGUGCCAGCAGCCGCGGUAAUACGUAGGUGGCAAGCGUUAUCCGGAAUUAUUGGGCGUAAAGCGCGCGUAGGCGGUUUUUUAAGUCUGAUGUGAAAGCCCACGGCUCAACCGUGGAGGGUCAUUGGAAACUGAAAAACUUGAGUGCAGAAGAGGAAAGUGGAAUUCCAUGUGUAGCGGUGAAAUGCGCAGAGAUAUGGAGGAACACCAGUGGCGAAGGCGACUUUCUGGUCUGUAACUGACGCUGAUGUGCGAAAGCGUGGGGAUCAAACAGGAUUA